rnacentral:rRNA from 1 species
GACCUGGUGGCUAUGGCGGGGGCUCCAAACCCGAUCCCAUCCCGAACUCGGCCGUCAAAACCCCCAGCGCCUAUGAUACUGCUCCUCGAUGAGUGGAAAAGUCGGUCGCCGCCAGGUCC